rnacentral:rRNA from 1 species
GACGAACGCUGGCGGCGUGCUUAACACAUGCAAGUCGAACGGAAAGGCCCUGCUUUUGUGGGGUGCUCGAGUGGCGAACGGGUGAGUAACACGUGAGUAACCUGCCCUUGACUUUGGGAUAAAUUCAGGAAACUGGGGCUAAUACCGGAUAGGAGCUCCUGCUGCAUGGGGGGGGGUGGAAAGUUUCGGCGGUUGGGGAUGGACUAGCGGCUUAUCAGCUUGUUGGUGGGGUAGUGGCUUACCAAGGCUUUGACGGGUAGCCGGCCUGAGAGGGUGACCGGCCACAUUGGGACUGCGAUACGGCCCAGACUCCUACGGUAGGCAGCAGGGGGGAAUAUUGCACAAUGGGCGGAAGCCUGAUGCAGCAACGCCGCGUGCGGGAUGACGGCCUUCGGGUUGUAAACCGCUUUCGCCGGUGACGAAGCGUGAGUGACGGUAAUGAGUAAAGAAGCACCGGCUAACUACGUG